GGCGUGAACUACACCGAGGUUAUUGCGUUCACUCGAGUCCUUUCCAUUCAUGGAUUUCCGAACCGCCCAUUUUGCACGAUUGCAGAAAGACGGAACUACUAGUUUUGUAUCAUGUUUUUACAUGACCAGGAGCAUCAGACUCUUGCACUGGACUAAUCACUUGAUAAACUUUUGCUCUUUCGUCUGAUUAUGAUUAAAUAGUUUUGUGCACUUCGACAUAUGGCUUCGCUUGAAGCAAGAAUAUCUCUUGCUUUUCGGAUGAUGUCGAAAAUCAGCAAGGAUAGAAGGCAACCGAAUAGAAGGCUAUUUAGUUUAUCGGAUCGGCUGAUACUGAUGCUGCCAGGCAGAGAUCAUUGUGGGGAUUACACUAAGACAUGAGAGAGAAUGUCAUAUCUCUAAAGUAUUAAGCCAACUUCAGACAGUAAGACUUCAAAAAGAUAGGCUAUGAUCUCCUGUGGGUUCUGUUCCUUUCUCUGAACAUGAUGAGCUCACUGCAGAGUCAAGAAUCACCAGCCGCCAAAGGCAACGCUACUGAAAUCACCCACAUCAAGAGCUGAAAAAUUUCACAAUCUAUUUAUCAUGGACAAGCCAAAGACUGAUUCAAACCUUAAUUGCUUUUACAUUUUGGAGUCCUUUCUCAUCUGUAUUGCAGAAAAAUGGAAACUUGCAAGCAAGAACUGGGAGAUUCUCUCUGCUCCAACCUCAAAUUCAGUGCCCAGUGAAAAAAACAACUUGAAGCAACAUUCACUCACCAUGGAUUCAGGAAUCUGCAAACUUCAUCACCACUAAAGAAUCAAAGUGACAGUUGAACAGUCAGGAUUCAGGUCACUGUUACAACUCAAAGAACUUUAAACUGGAAUUGCUUUACUUGACUCCACCUCCUUUUUUUAAGCUUAUUAUCUAUGUUUAUGUGUGUGUUUGAUUAUUAUUUUCUCAGUAUUAGUAGAUAAUAAAAUUCUUCUCUCAUUCACUCAAGAAAACCUUGUAAUCU